UUAAACAAAAUAUUAAACAAAAAUAAGUACAUUCGUUUGAAAAACCUAAUCGUUAUUUUACAAUUGAACAUAUAAUUUUGUCAAAUUUGGUACUUAAAAUACUUAGAAAAAAAAUAUGCAAAUAUGUAAUUUGAUAUUUUCAAAUGUUGUUAGAAAAACUUAUAUAACAUUUUAACUCUACCUACGUUCAUUGAUAAUAAUAUUAUGAUUCUUUAUUGUGAUUGGGUAAUGACUCUAAGUUAUAGCCAAGCUAACUUACUGAAGUAUGUACAUUGUACAUUGUACACUGACCAAGUCUGUAAUUUUGAACACAGAAAUAAGAACGAUUAGUUAAAAAAAAACUUUUUGUUUAUUACUUUGGAAGUUUAAAGAAGUUGAGAUACAUGAAAGACAAAUAACAGCGGACUUAAGUAAAAAUAAAGAAUUUUGAAAUCUCGAAUCUUUGACUUUGGGAAAUCAUCAAGAGCAAAAACACAGAAAUAG